UCGCUCCGGCCGCUGAGCAGGCUGAGGGCGACUUCCGCCCAUCUCGUCGCGGGGCACCCUGCCCGCAGUGAACCAGCCGCACCUCACGGGACCCUGCUCCCCUGGGAGCCGACCCGCCUUACAUUCGGCACGCCUCGGGGUGAUGCGCUGAGCCCUCAUGGCCACACUGGCCUGUGACACCUUCCGAAGGUUUUUGGCUAUUAUGAACAGAACUGCUAAGAACACUUAGUUUCAAGCUUCUGUGUGGACACGUUUUCAUUUCCCUUGGGCAAAUACCUGGGAGUGAAAUAGCUGCAUCAUAUGGGCCAACCUGAUCAGUGGGACUGAGAGCAAGGUCAGUGUCUGCACAGGCAGAAGCAGCAUGAAGCCCGAACAGGACAGAGUCCAAGGCCUGAGAUGGAUGAGGGGCAGCCUCUCCAUCUCUGUGCCCCGAGGGCCCUGCUGAGCUGCCCACCAAGAGCCAUGAACACACCAAGCCCCUGGGGUUGGCCUGAAUACCACUUUCCACUAAAAGAAAACAGAAUUCUUGGGUCAAUAGCUCAUUUCAGUGCUGGAUCAAAGAAAGAUGCAUAUGGAACAUCUAUUUGUGCAAGACAGAAAGGAAUUGCUCAAAGAAUGUCAAAUGUCACAGAAGCCAGCCCAAAUCUAGGACAACUUGAGCAUCAAAAGAAGUAAAAGUAGUAACAGAUUAAAUGCAAUGGAAACCACACAUUCACACUGAUAUGAAGAAAUACUGAAAAAGUUCAAAGUUAGAUGAGAAAUAGCGCAUUUAGAUAAACUCAAAAGUAUCUCCCCUCAAAAUACUAACUGCAAAGAAAGUAAAUGGAAAAGCCUGGCAGACACCAUCUUACCCUUGAAAUGAAAAGGAGUUCCACUCGUAAUGGGACGAAGUGCCCCCUGAAGGGAUGUGAGGAGGACACAGCCCCUGCUGCAACGCUCCUGCCAGAGAUGCACAUAACUGUGAGGUGGCAUCAGUCAAAUCCAAAUGCAAAGGCACUCCAAAUGUCCCAAGGUCAUUCUUGACUAGAGGCCCAACUCACUGAAUCCUGGGCACAUGAUUCUGAACUAGAUCUUUUUGCUGUGAAGGCUUACUUGAUGUUGGGUGAAGCUGACGAUUGAGUAUAACAAGAUUAGCAUCAGCCUCCUGAUUUGAUUUUGAUGGUUGUACUAUACUGAAAUGGCACCACCUCUUGUUUGAAGGGAAAAUGUGAGGGUUACAAGCCUUCCGGGAACAAUUUGUUUCCAGAGUAAUCCGAAAAAAAUCCCUGCACUGCCCUUGAAACUUUUCAGGGGGUUUGAGAUUGUCACUCACACAUAAAGGCAGGCACACACACAUAUAUGUGAACACAUGCAUACAUUAUGCAUGCCACAUAUGCACAUGUGCAUGCAUACUACCUUUGGAGGAAGCACAUAUACUUUUUUCGUGUGUUUUUUAAAAAAAUUUAUUAAUUUUCUUACAUAGGUGUUCAUUUUUGUACAGUAUUUAAGUUCUCCCCUCAGGUAUAGUCCCUAUAGUUCUCCCACCACCAUGGCAUCCAUCAUUAUAGUCUCUUGUGCUCUUCCCUCCCCUGUUCUGACCCCUCUCCCUCUUCCUCCCCUGCUGUAGGCCUCAGAUCUAUGGUCAGAUUGCAAGUUCUAUCUUUUUCCUAACCCUUCGUUAGUUUUUCUAUAGGCCACCUUCUUGAUCCAUUCAUCUGAUUGGGGGCUGCGGCAGGCUACGCCUCCCAUGCUGUGGGGCAUUUAGUUUGUUUCCAUAUCUUGGCUAUUAGUGAGCACAUGUACUCUCUGACUCUACAAUUCGACUUCAGCAAUCUAUCCAAGGGAAAUAGAGUACCUGCCCAAGAUGUGUGCAGAAAAAUCAUUAAUGCUACAGAAACAAUGUCACAAGAUGAUGAGUCAAGGAGCAGAAAUACAUGAGUCAAGGUCAUAGCCUGAAUCCUGCUCAGACAUCAGCUGCUGUGGUUCCAACAGAGCCUGGCUCAAAAGGAUGCUUGGUUUGCUGGUGCCUGAGUCCAGCUCUGUCUGAAGAAGGCCAUUGGCCUGUAACUGUCUGUAAGGCGGAUGCAGGAAUGACCACAGACCAGUGAGGAGGAGGGGCCCUCAAAUUCCCCCUGCCCAAUGCCACAUGUGAGCAUGUGGCUUUGAAAGCCACGUCUAGGGUUUAGGAGUUCUGAAGGCAUCCAAACUGGCCCCACUGCACCCUGGACCUUGGAAAUGGGACCGCAACAACAUGUGGAAUGAAAACACAAUAGUGCAGGCCCGAGGGAGAGCCAGAGAAUCUCCGGCCUGGCCACUGCCUGCCGUCCGUGGGGUUCCUCAGUGAGAAUGGACCUAGCCCCUUGCACAAUAUUAACUAUGCUCCCAUUACUCUGUAGGGUCAGCCUUGGUGUUUUCUUCAAUAAAAUUUCUGAUCACGCAGGCUGUGUUCCCCU